rnacentral:rRNA from 1 species
AACGAACGCUGGCGGCAUGCCUAACACAUGCAAGUCGAACGAGACCUUCGGGUCUAGUGGCGCACGGGUGCGUAACGCGUGGGAACCUGCCCUUAGGUUCAGAAUAACUCCCCGAAAGGGGUGCUAAUACCGGAUAAUGUCUUCGGACCAAAGAUUUAUCGCCUUUGGAUGGGCCCGCGUUGGAUUAGCUAGUUGGUAGGGUAAAAGCCUACCAAGGCGACGAUCCAUAGCUGGUCUGAGAGGAUGAUCAGCCACACUGGGACUGAGACACGGCCCAGACUCCUACGGGAGGCAGCAGUGGGGAAUAUUGGACAAUGGGCGAAAGCCUGAUCCAGCAAUGCCGCGUGAGUGAUGAAGGCCUUAGGGUUGUAUAGCUCUUUUACCCGGGAUGAUAAUGACAGUACCGGGAGAAUAAGCUCCGGCUAACUCCGUG